GAUGAUGCACAUAUGGAGGCGCCCACUCUGACUCAGGAACGGAAGGAAGUCAUAACCGAGGUUUUCGGACAUGUGACGUGUGUUGCGACGCCGCGUUCAGGGCGAUAAGUACUCCCUCCCAUGCUUUCCGAAAAUGAGAGUAAACAGCACAUGCUUUGGAUUCGUUGGAUUCCGUGAGAGAGAGGGCAAUUGCUCAAUUUCUUAGAAGACCAGAUACGCGCAGUCUCGGAACUCGCAGCUGUCUUCGAAGAGUGGGGAACUGUCAGUGGAGAGGUUUUUGUGCAGGAGGUUCUAACUCAGAGUGGGCUUUCAAAGGGCAAGCUCUUAGGCUGAGUUUAGGGGGAUUGCAAAUAUGGAUGGCGAGAGGUAUAUUGGAGUGGCGCUGGAUUACUCGCCUAGCAGCAGAUAUGCUUUGAAAUGGAGCAUAAAGAAUGUCCUGCGCGAGAAUGAUCACCUCAUUAUCGUGGUGGUGAACAAAGACAACCUCCUUGAAGGUGGCCAACCAGCUCUGUGGGAGGCGUCCGGCACCCGGCUUUAGAGGUUGGAGAAACACACACCGCAAAACGGCUCAUCUAGCUUAUGAUUGAUACUGAUCGUAUCGGUAUGGGCUUGAAAACAUCCGCUUUUGGGGUGUAGCUUUGAUUCCUUUGCAAGAAGCAGAAAACAUAAUUUACCAGCAGAAUUACCAAUUGACGAUUGACGAAGAACUUAAGACGGUUCUACAUGAAGCUGUAGCGAAGAAGAUUGUCGUGGUCUUCAAGGUCUACUGGGGCGACGCUAAGGAGAAGCUCUGCAGUUCCGUUGUGGACGUGCCCCUGGAUUACCUUGUCAUGGGAUGCCGAGGUCUCAGCAGCAUCAAAAGGGCCUUCAUGGGAAGCGUAAGCAACUAUGUGGUAAACAACGUACCUUGCCCCGUUACUAUAGUGAAGUUGCCGCCCAGUUGAGCGGAAGAUUGUCGGUCUCCUGUUGACGGAUGAUAACGAAUACUCUUUUUAACGGGGGGUCCUUGUUACACUAUAUUUGUUAUGAAUUCCCGACUCUAUAGAACCGAAGUGCAAAGGGAAGAUGGUAUUACUGUGAGCUAACUGUUUUUUAAUACAUUGCAUUGCAAGGGAACUCCCUGCUUGUGUUA